rnacentral:rRNA from 1 species
UACGAAGGGGGCUAGCGUUGCUCGGAAUUACUGGGCGUAAAGGGAGCGUAGGCGGACAGUUUAGUCAGAGGUGAAAGCCCAGGGCUCAACCUUGGAAUUGCCUUUGAUACUGGCUGUCUUGAGUACGGUAGAGGUGUGUGGAACUCCGAGUGUAGAGGUGAAAUUCGUAGAUAUUCGGAAGAACACCAGUGGCGAAGGCGACACACUGGCCCGUUACUGACGCUGAGGCUCGAAGGUGCGGGGAUCAAACAGG